CAGCCGCCGCGGGAAUACGAAGGGUGCAAGCGUUAAUCGGAAUUACUGGGCGUAAAGCGUGCGUAGGUAGUUGUUUAAGUCUGCUGUGAAAGCCCUGGGCUCAACCUGGGAAUUGCAGUGGAUACUGGGCAACUAGAGUAAGGUAGAGGAUAGUGGAAUUUCCGGUGUAGCAGUGAAAUGCGUAGAUAUGUGGAGGAACACCGAUGGCGAAGGCAGCCUCCUGGGCCAAUACUGACGCUCAUGCACGAAAGCGUGGGGAGCAAACAGGAUUAGAUACCCGAGUAGUCCCUGUCUCUUAUAC
rnacentral:rRNA from 1 species